UUAUUAUCAUGUGAAGGUUUUCUGAGGUGCCAACAUCAGUUAAAGGGUGUUUUAGUUGAAAUAAGGACUUACACUUAAGAACAUGAAGGUCUUAGGAUAAUGGGAAUAAACCAGAAAGUGUGAAGAGCAGAAUUGAUAAUUAGCUUAGAAAGUGAACCGUAGUAAAUAUGUUCUGAAAUAAGGAAUUAUUUCUUUUAUUCCUUGAUGUUAAAGAUGAGGUAGGGAUGAAUUCUUUUUGUUUGCAUGAAUAUCUGAUCUUUGUAAAAUAA
rnacentral:misc_RNA from 1 species